CUGUCAAAGCACGGGCUUAACUCCGUUAAGCCACUGGAAACUGUACCGCUAGAGUUCCCUAGGGUUAGAGCGAAUUCCCGCUGAAUCGCUGAAAUGCGUAGAGAUCGGGAAGAACAUCGCUGGCGAAAGCGCUCUACUGGACGGCAACUGACACUCAGGGACGAAAGCUAGGGGAGCGAAUGGGAUUAGAUACCCCAGUAGUCCUAGCUGUAAACGAUGGAUACUAGGUGUAGCUUGUAUCGACCCGUAGCUGUGCCGAAGCUAACGCGUUAAGUAUCCCGCCUGGGGAGUACGCACGCAUGUGUGAAACUCAAAGGAAUUGACGGGGGCCCGCACAAGCGGUGGAGUAUGUGGUUUAAUUCGAUGCUACGCGAAGAACCUUAACCAGGGCUUGACAUGUCCGGAAUCCCGAUGAAAGCUGGGAGUGCCUUCGGGAGCCGGAACACAGGUGGUGCAUGGCAGUGAUCUAGCUCGUGUCGUAAGAUGUUGGGUUAAGUCCCGCAUCGAGCGCAACCCUAGUCUUUAGUAGCCAGCAAUAAGUUGGGCACUCUAGAGAGACGGCCGGUGACAAACCGGAGGAAGGUGGGGAUGACGUCAAGUCAGCAUGCC
rnacentral:rRNA from 1 species